AACGCUAGCUACAGGCUUAACACAUGCAAGUCGAGGGGAAACGACAUCGAAAGCUUGCUUUUGAUGGGCGUCGACCGGCGCACGGGUGAGUAACGCGUAUCCAACUUGCCCACCACUUGGGGAUAACCUUGCGAAAGUAAGACUAAUACCCAAUGAUAUCUCUAGAAGACAUCUGAAAGAGAUUAAAGAUUUAUCGGUGAUGGAUGGGGAUGCGUCUGAUUAGCUUGUUGGCGGGGUAACGGCCCACCAAGGCGACGAUCAGUAGGGGUUCUGAGAGGAAGGUCCCCCACAUUGGAACUGAGACACGGUCCAAACUCCUACGGGAGGCAGCAGUGAGGAAUAUUGGUCAAUGGGCGAGAGCCUGAACCAGCCAAGUAGCGUGCAGGAUGACGGCCCUAUGGGUUGUAAACUGCUUUUAUAAGGGAAUAAAGUGAGCCUCGUGAGGCUUUUUGCAUGUACCUUAUGAAUAAGGACCGGCUAAUUCCGUGCCAGCAGCCGCGGUAAUACGGAAGGUCCGGGCGUUAUCCGGAUUUAUUGGGUUUAAAGGGAGCGUAGGCCGGAGAUUAAGCGUGUUGUGAAAUGUAGACGCUCAACGUCUGCACUGCAGCGCGAACUGGUUUCCUUGAGUACGCACAAAGUGGGCGGAAUUCGUGGUGUAGCGGUGAAAUGCUUAGAUAUCACGAAGAACUCCGAUUG
rnacentral:rRNA from 1 species